UACGGAGGGUGCAAGCGUUAUCCGGAUUCACUGGGUUUAAAGGGUGCGUAGGCGGGCACGUAAGUCAGUGGUGAAAUCUCCGAGCUUAACUCGGAAACUGCCGUUGAUACUAUUUGUCUUGAAUGUUGUGGAGGUUAGCGGAAUAUGUCAUGUAGCGGUGAAAUGCAUAGAUAUGACAUAGAACACCAAUUGCGAAGGCAGCUGGCUACACAAAUAUUGACGCUGAGGCACGAAAGCGUGGGGAUCAAACAGG
rnacentral:rRNA from 1 species